AGGUACUUCAUGAAAUUUAACAUCCAGAAACCACAAGUUGCAUGAUUAUGAAAUUUUGAUAUGUUCAAUAAUAAGCACUGAUAAAAAUCUUAUUAGUUUUAUAAAACUUUCAAAAUAAUUGUGAUUGAAUACUUUUUAACCCCUUGUGACUUUAUCAAACUAUCACACCCACAUAGUCAAAUUGUACACACUUGAUAAAAAAACAAUUGGACAAAGUACAAUGCUAAAUACUACUUCCGUAAAGAAAUAUAAGAGCGUUUAAAUCAUUAAAGUAGUAAUAUAAACACUCUUAUAUUUCUUUACCGAGGGAGUACAAACUAAGAGCAUCUUCAAUAGCUUCUCUAUACGGAUGUCUAUACUCGUUUUCCACGACGUGAGCUCAAAACAGGCGUCCAACAGCUUGUCUAUAUGGUCGUCCAAAUAUACACAUCCUCUAUAUCGACCUCGACAAUGUCCACGCCUGGACAAUGUGAAGGCGUUGUCUAAACUCAGCUGCAGUCAUGAUUUCUUCCUUUCCCCAGCGACGGCCCACCUGUCAUGGUCCCUGUAUAUAGACAUUCUAAUGCAAAACUGGACGUGUAUAUGCGGGAAUCUUUUUAGACCAUUGUCUAUAUGAAUAUAUAGACAUCCAAAUAUGCACAUGCUAUUGGAGAUGCUCUAAGUGACAAAAAGUCUAUUGAUAAAAAAAUGAAUUGGACAACACCGACGCUAAAAAACAAACUCAAAAAAGAAAAGAAACGAAAAAGGCUCAAAAAAGGACACACCUGACUCUCCCUCAUAGUUCUCCUCACAUCGUCACCUACCUUCCCCACCCUUAUCCAUUCACUAUCUCCCCACUACUCUCCAUGGCACAAGCCCAGAGCUCUCUACCUCCUCGGGCCGCCCCUCCUCUUCGUCCCCACCGCCGGCGCGAGGACUCGCACUCUCCCCACUCUUCUCAGCCCCUCCUCGUCGAAUCAGUCGCCGAAGUGCCCGAGGAUCCGCUCGAGCUCGGCAUGGUCGUUGGGUGCGGGGCGAAGGCCGACGCAGAGGCGCGGGACUCGUCUCCAUCAGAUCGGCGGGCGUGGAAAUCAUGCGUCGCAACCUCCGCGCCCGGUGCCUUCCUCUCCAUCUCGCCCGUCGGCGGCUCGCACAACCCUUUGCUGUGCCCUGCCCUGCCCAGAUACGGCAGCAGUGCCGCGGUGGCUGGUCCCCUCCAAGUGCAAGCCGGCGCCAUUAGAAAAUCCAUUCCCCACUUCAGCUUUCAUAUCUGCUUAUUUCUGAUUUGAGUUACUCCCCAUUACCCACUUCUGCUAAUCCCUAAUUGCUAUCCAUUCCUGUAUAGUACAUAUGUAGCUCAGUACUCUAGGUUUAAGCAUGAGAGUCAUUUUAGAAUAGGGGAGAAAAAUUAGAAGUUGGGGUGAUCCUAUUUUGGUCUGCCUAAUCUUGGAGUAAGUUGUUCGAUUAGACUUUCUUAACUUAGUUGCAGCAACUGUUAUGAGUGGGGAUUCUAGUUAGUUAAUAUUCUUCAGGCAACCAUGCUACGAUAAAGCUGAUUGAUUGGUGGAUUAGAAUUCUAGGUGGCUAGGGGGGAUAGGGACCAAGACAGAUGAGGUUGAUUUGGCUUGAUCCUGCCAAAGAAAUUUACUUCUAUUUUGAAAAAUGAACACAUGUUCUUAGAUGUGCAGGGUUAAGUUUACAAAUGCGAGGUUUAUAGAAAAUCAAAGAGGAUCAAGAGAAGCAUAGUACGAUAAUACAAUAGGAUAAGCAUGUAUGACUGUAGGAUAAUACAGUUUGAAGAAUGAUGAUGGUAUGGUUCUCAUAUAGAGGACGAUGGUUGGCUCAAAGAGUUUAUCACCUCAAAAAUUUCCUUUCUUGGAAUAACUUGCCUUAUUAGAAGUCCAUAAACAUCUCUGGCAUCUUCAGUACUACUUACGGCAGCUGCACAAGUGUUAUUCAUGAUAUAGCACAACCUUUUAGAUAUAUUUCUUGUUGUCCCGGACCCCCUGUUAAAACAGAAGUGCUUUUGCAGGCUUACAAGAAAUGUAUUUUGAAGACCAUCUAACUAUCUAAGAGUCAUGGAAUUCGUUCCAUCCUAUAUUUUUGGGACUCUGGAAUAAACACAAAGAUGGGAAUGGGGAUGCAUACCUGCCUGCCAUACACAUUGACAGGUUUUCAAUACUCAUCCCGAAGCUUUUCAGCGUUGUACAAAAGAAGUAAUUGACAGGUUUACUUCAUGAUAGUCUUGGGUUUGGUUUGGCCAAAAUGAUCAGGCAAGUGCGUUGCCUGAGGAGUUCGUCGGCGCCUACAUCGUCGGCCGCGGAAGGGGGCGAUGGCCAAAACUGGCUGGGCGGCGACGGCGCAACAGUGGCUUGCGGCGCCGAUGUCUCACUGCAGUGUGCGUUUGAACAGCGACAUCGAAGAAAGACACUGAGAUUAACUGGGAUGGAACUGUUCGCACCUGCGUUCGCGAGAAGCUCUUCGGCGCGGUCGUCGUCCGCUGUGCAUGGCUGCGAUGGCGCAGGACAGCCUCUGCGGCUGCGACGUACUUCCGGGUGGGCAAGGGCAGGAAGAUCCAUCUGAUUCCCGUAAGUUUAGCCACUUGUUGUUAGGCGGACGUGUUUAAUUGCCGUUAAUUAUGGCUAAUUUUCCGUAGUUUAGCCAUUUUGUUGUUAGGACGUGAACAGAAUUGGUGGAACCGUUUCAAUCUUGUGCGAGCGUGGGUCCGGCACAGUUUUCGUCCGCCAAGUUCUCUUGUUUAAUAGUAGUGUAGAAAAGGUAGUCUUCUGUACAGCAUUGUCCAUUCCAUUCAAGAGACCAAUCCAAAUGGAUCUGCACCUUAAAUAUAUUUGAAGUUUUGAACUGAUUUA